rnacentral:rRNA from 1 species
CGGGUGAGUAACACGUGGAUAACCUACCUAUAAGACUGGGAUAACUUCGGGAAGCCGGAGCUAAUACCGGAUAAUAUAUUGAACCGCAUGGUUCAAUAGUGAAAGACGGUUUUGCUGUCACUUAUAGAUGGAUCCGCGCCGCAUUAGCUAGUUGGUAAGGUAACGGCUUACCAAGGCAACGAUGCGUAGCCGACCUGAGAGGGUGAUCGGCCACACUGGAACUGAGACACGGUCCAGACUCCUACGGGAGGCAGCAGUC